ACUCAGGUUUUUUUUAAGACCACACUCUAAAAAUAAAAAGAGUAAG
rfam:Candidate division TM6 bacterium GW2011_GWF2_37_49 TS49_C0005, whole genome shotgun sequence.